CCGCGGUUUUGGCAUCCCCUGGGGGCAGGAAGCCCUCUCCAGCCCUGAUCCCCGGCCGGGCGGCAGAGUCGGGCCUGCGCGCCGAUGCUCGCGGGUGGGCUGGGCCGGCCGGCUGCGUGGGAGGCGGGCCGCAUUAUUUCCCGCUAGGGCCGGGCUCUGUGGGAGGAAGCGGCCCGGCACGGCCCUCUCGGCCAGAAACGGCGCUCGCUGCAGCGCGGGCCGUGGACCGGGCGCGUGGGCGGGCGGGGCGCGACGCCCCCACGGGCCCGGGGCGCCUCUCCCAAGCUCCCCGCCCCUCCCCCUCUUCUUCCUUCCUUCCUUCCUUCCUUCCCCUCGGCGCUCCCGGGAACGCUGGGCGGACGCGAGCCGCGCGGGGCGUCUCAGCUUUGUGUGCGCCCGCGGGCCCGGCGCAAGCCUCGGGCGGCCCAACUUUGCGUCUCCUGGCAAGCUCCCGAGCGGGAGUUGUGAGGCGUGGCCGGUGGAGGAGGCGCUUGGGGGGGCGUGGGGCUCCCCGGCAGGCGGGAGGCUCGCAGCGAGCGGCGCCGGACAAUGCGCUGGGCAGCUCGCCGCCGCGGCCCCUUUUAGCUGCGGGCGCGGGCGGGCCGGCGCCUCCGCGGCUCAUCGGCCCCACCUGCAAGGAGAGGGCGGGAUGCCAGAGCCAGGUGUCCCGGCGCUUUAAGGGCCCUCACAGUCAGACCUCCCCGCACGGGUUCUCGCACUGGCACUAGUCUGCCUGGAACGCUUUUCUGUGGGAAGCGCUCGGAGCAGCCGCGAUGGCCAGCACCAGGAGCAUCGAGCUGGAGCACUUUGAGGAACGGGACAAAAGGCCGCGGUCGGGGUCGCGGAGAGGGGCACCCAGCUCCUCUGGGGGCAGCAGCAGCUCGGGCCCUAAGGGGAAUGGGCUCAUCCCCAGCCCGGCGCACAGUGCCCACUGCAGCUUCUACCGCACGCGGACCCUGCAGGCCCUCAGCUCGGAGAAGAAGGCCAAGAAGGCGCGCUUCUACCGGAACGGGGACCGCUACUUCAAGGGCCUGGUGUUUGCCAUCUCCAGCGACCGCUUCCGGUCCUUCGACGCGCUCCUCAUAGAGCUCACCCGCUCCCUGUCGGACAACGUGAAUCUGCCCCAGGGCGUCCGCACCAUCUAUACCAUCGACGGCAGCCGGAAGGUCACCAGCCUGGACGAGCUGCUGGAAGGUGAGAGUUACGUGUGUGCAUCCAACGAACCAUAUCGUAAAGUCGAUUACACCAAAAAUGUUAAUCCGAACUGGUCCGUAAACAUCAAGGGUGGGACAACCCGAGCCCUGGCUGCUGCCUCCUCUGUGAAAAGUGAAGUAAAAGAAAGUAAAGAUUUCAUCAAACCCAAGUUAGUGACUGUGAUUCGAAGUGGAGUGAAGCCUAGAAAAGCUGUGCGGAUCCUUCUGAAUAAAAAGACUGCUCAUUCCUUUGAACAGGUCUUAACAGAUAUCACCGAAGCCAUUAAACUAGACUCAGGAGUAGUCAAGAGGCUCUGCACCCUGGACGGAAAGCAGGUUACUUGUCUGCAAGACUUUUUUGGUGAUGACGACGUUUUUAUUGCAUGUGGACCUGAAAAAUUCCGUUAUGCCCAAGAUGACUUUGUCCUGGAUCACAGUGAAUGCCGUGUCCUGAAGUCUUCUUAUUCUAGAUCCUCAACUGUCAAGUAUUCUGGAUCCAAAAGCCCUGGGCCCUCUCGACGAAGCAAAUCACCAGCUUCAGUUAAUGGAACUCCCAGCAGCCAACUUUCCACUCCUAAAUCUACGAAAUCCUCCAGUUCCUCCCCAACUAGCCCAGGAAGUUUCAGAGGAUUAAAGAUUUCUGCUCACGGCAGAUCUUCUUCCAAUGUAAAUGGUGGACCUGAACUGGAUCGUUGCAUGAGUCCUGAAGGUGUGAAUGGAAACAGGUGCUCUGAAUCAGCUCUUCUUGAGAAGUACAAAAUUGGGAAGGUCAUUGGCGAUGGCAAUUUUGCAGUAGUCAAAGAGUGUACGGACAGGUCCACCGGAAAGGAGUUUGCUCUAAAGAUUAUAGACAAAGCCAAAUGUUGUGGAAAGGAACACCUGAUUGAGAAUGAAGUGUCAAUACUGCGCCGAGUGAAACAUCCCAAUAUCAUCAUGCUGGUGGAGGAGAUGGAAACAGCCACGGAGCUCUUUCUGGUGAUGGAAUUGGUCAAAGGUGGAGAUCUCUUUGAUGCAAUUACUUCUUCAACCAAGUACACCGAGAGAGACGGCAGCGCCAUGGUGUACAACCUCGCCAACGCCCUCAGGUAUCUCCACGGCCUCAGCAUUGUGCACAGAGACAUCAAGCCAGAGAAUCUCUUGGUGUGUGAGUAUCCUGAUGGAACCAAGUCUUUGAAACUGGGAGACUUUGGGCUCGCCACCGUGGUGGAAGGCCCUUUGUACACAGUCUGUGGCACACCAACUUACGUAGCUCCAGAAAUCAUUGCUGAAACCGGCUAUGGCCUCAAGGUGGACAUCUGGGCUGCCGGUGUGAUCACGUACAUACUUCUCUGUGGAUUCCCGCCAUUCCGCAGUGAGAACAAUCUCCAGGAAGAUCUCUUUGAUCAGAUCUUGGCUGGGAAGCUGGAGUUUCCAGCCCCCUACUGGGAUAACAUCACAGACUCUGCCAAGGAAUUAAUCAGUCAAAUGCUUCAGGUAAACGUCGAAGCUCGGUGUACCGCGGGACAAAUCCUGAGUCACCCCUGGGUGUCAGAUGAUGCCUCCCAGGAGAAUAAUAUGCAAGCGGAGGUAACAGGUAAACUAAAACAGCACUUUAAUAAUGCGCUCCCCAAACAGAACAGCACCACCACUGGGGUCUCCGUCAUCAUGUUUGAUUUGACAGUUUGAGAGACACCUCAGAGUUUCGUUCUUUACCCAGUUGAGACAAUGGGGAAUCCCGCAGCAGGAUCCUGAACACGGCUCUAGAUAAGGAGGGGCAGAUUUUCUGCAGUAAGCACUGUCACGACAGCAGCAGACCUGGGAUGGAGCAGAUCUCUCCAAUUCCUCCCUCGGCUGAGGAGACCCCUGUGUCUGGGGUGGCAGCCCUGGCCGCUGCCCCUCCGGAAUCUCCCACACCCCCCUGCCCUCCUGCUGCCACAGGCUGUGAGCGGGCAGGGACCUGGCGCCGCCACCGAGACUGAGCCUUUUGCAGACGGGCCAAGCCGCUGCCGCCGCGCCAGGAAGCCCGCUCUUCUGCUUGGCCGGGCCGGGCCGCCCUCGCGAAAGAGCCUUUCUCUCCUGGCUGCGGGUUCGUUGGCCUCCGCGACGGGCUGCCUGGGAACCAGGAGCCGGGCGUCCCGGAGCCCGGUGCUGGACUCUGCCCUCUGGUUCCUGGAGACGUCACAGGCCGUGUUAGCUUUGCUGACAGAUACUUGGAGUGACUCGUUUCAAGUCAUCCCUGUUUUCAGUUCAAUGGACCUUUUACAGCUACACCAGGAGAAUGUGCCACUUUUAUCAGCAUUAAAUGCAUUUUUAUAGAAACACUUUGGAUGAACUAAGAUCUCUCCCUUAUUUAAGUUAACUCAGAGUACUCCUUUUUGGUUGUUUUGUUUUUUACAAAAGACUUAGAACUGCAUUUGUCCCUUUGUGGGAGCCCUGUGAGCGGUGACAUGACACCCUGGUCUGCUGAGGGCAGUUACUGGGACUGACUUUCCAACUGAAGAAACGAGCACUGAAGAGGACAAUCUGGUCGCUGGACACUAAUUCCAGACUUUGAGAAGUGCUUUCGACGCCCGCGAAGCAGCGCAGCCAUUGGGCUGGGGCGCUGGGCUCGCCUGAGGCGACGCUGGGUGUUUAUCCGCACAGACCCCAGGAGCAGCUCCCUUCUCCCUGAGGCAUCACGUGUUUUUCCCCGUUCUUCCCACAGCGUAUCGGGAGAUGCCAACGAAGUUGCCCUUUAGGCUUUGAUGAAAGGCUUGGCGCCCGCGCAUCAGCAAGGCUCCCCUCAGCCCGCUGCGGGCGCGGCAGCAGGAGCCGGGCUCCCGAGCAGCCCGUGUCUCCUUUCGUCCUCUGCUGCUCGCCCGGAGCGGGGCUGCAAACCGUGAGGGAGGAAACGCACCCGAGGCACAGCCAGGACUGGGCGAGAAGGUGCUCCCUGGACAUCCUCUGGAACCUCUGGAAGGCUGCUGGCAGUUUUUCCUUUUUGUGCGUCACCCUGCUCUUUUUAAUAAUUGUACAUAAUCGGUGUAUUUGUUUUACCUGCUCAUCUUCUGAACCGGUGGGCCCUUAGAGUUCCUUCCUAUUGUUAGAUUUUGCCUUUUACAAGUGUACCCAACCUGCAAUAAACUUUUCCCUCUUGAGAAAAGGUAAUCGGGGAUGGGCAAA